ACAGAGGGGGCAAGCGUUAUUCGGAAUUAUUGGGCGUAAAGGGCGCGUAGGCGGCUUUUCAAGUGGCGGGUGAAAUCCCUCGGCUUAAUCGGGGAACUGCGUCUGAUACUGGAUGGCUUGAGUUCGGGAGAGGGAUGCGGAAUUCCAGGUGUAGCGGUGAAAUGCGUAGAUAUCUGGAGGAACACCGGUGGCGAAGGCGGCAUCCUGGACCGAUACUGACGCUGAGGAGCGAAAGCCAGGGGAGCAAACGGGA
rnacentral:rRNA from 1 species